rnacentral:rRNA from 1 species
UACGGAGGGUGCGAGCGUUGUCCGGAUUUAUUGGGUUUAAAGGGUGCGUAGGUGGCUAUUUAAGUCAGUGGUGAAAUACAGCCGCUCAACGGUUGAGGUGCCAUUGAUACUGAAUAGCUUGAAAUAAUUGGAGGCUGCCGGAAUGGAUGGUGUAGCGGUGAAAUGCAUAGAUAUCAUCCAGAACACCGAUUGCGAAGGCAGGUGGCUACGAUUUAUUUGACACUGAGGCACGAAAGCAUGGGGAGCAAACAGG